rnacentral:lncRNA from 1 species
GGCUUUUGUUUAUUGUCAUUGCAUAAGAGACUAUGACAGGAAAUUGUUUUCUCUGAAAUCUGAAAGGCAAUCUUGGAUCUGAUGGUGUCAGUGACAUUCUUGGAAUAAGAACUUUGUUUCCAGCAUUAUGACCAGUUAUAACUUUGGCUUCCAAUACGUGACUCCCCAAUCUGGUAAUAACCAAUCUAGUGCCAUUGCACAAGCCAUUUGCAUGAUCUAUAUUCCUCAAUAGCAUGACUGGAGUUCCAACUUUCAAGUAUAGUUCAUGAUUGGGGACACCAGAACAUUUAAGACUAUUUAGGAACUCAGGCGUAUGUAUGUCAUGGAGCAACGAUGAAGUAGAGUCUGUUGUGCACGUCUUAUCUGAGCUCAAAUAUUGUCUGCCUUCACACUCAUUCAAUGAAACCAUGUAUUGAUUUAUAGACUCAAUCACAUUUAGUGUGGGUGCCAAAAUAGCUCGUUCCUGCAAAUAGCUUGGAUUGUCACUGCAAUUGCUGAAUGAUGAAUAAAUCUCAUCGACUAUAGCAGCAAUAGGAUCUCCUGAAUAUUUAAUGAGAAUGUCAUCUGGAAGCUCAAUAUCCACUUCACCAUCAUUUGGACCUCCUAGUAUCCCAUCUCCCACACUUGCUAUCCACUUAGCAAAUUGCUCCAAUUGGAUGGACUCUUCAUUUGUACGUGCAUUCCCAAGUCUCAUGUUUUUUGUCAAUCGUAAGACAGUGCAACUCUUCCAUAAAUAUGAAGAAUUGAUUGUAGCAUUCCACCCUAAUCAAAUCACACAUAGGAUUUAAUUAUAACAAAAUAUGCAUAAUAAAAGACUGUAUGUAAUUAAAUAGAGUUCAGUUUUCUAACCUCUGAAUUUUCACAAAGCUCUUUUAUGGUUGUCACAGUAACUCCAGCCUCGAGCUCAUCAUUAACGGUAUAACUUGUUUGUUGUGAAGUAUUGACAAUAAUUUUAGUGCAUAAGCUGGAGUGAGUAAGCCUUUUUUUAAAAAAAAUAAGGUUACACAUGAGUCAAUUACAAAUGGCUGGGCAUCAAUCAAUUAAGAAUGGUGAGCUACCAAUUAGGUGAAUGAUAGAUACCUCUCCUUGAAUUCAUGAACUUCGGGUAUAUCAGCAUUCAACAAAAUUUUUGUAACUCUAUAUCCAUUCUGCACUCUAACAACACCUACCAUAUUAAAUAUUAAACAGAAGAUUAGAUAUUAAAUACUCCUUUAAGUUAUAAUUACAAACAUGAACUUACCUUGAUACAAAAAUAACUUACCAACAUAAAGUUAAAGUUCAGUACAAAAAAUAAAAUUUAAUUUUUAUUUACCUUGAUACAUACUCAGCCUACAAAAUUGUAUUAUGAUAAUGUUGGCAUCCAAUUCGCGUUCUUCAUAUUUUUUGAUGAAUUCAUCAACAUAAUCAUCCCAUAUAGUACAUGAGAUUCUUUUUCCCCUUCAAACAAAAGUACAUUUAAGGAACAACAAAACACAAAAGUUGUAGUUUAUUAAUGUACACAGAAUCUGUACAGAAUAACUCACUCAGUAUCUUCUAGAAUGAGAUCUAAGAGUUUUUUUUCUUUUCCAUCUCGUGUUGUGAUUUUCUGUGGAUUAGGAUUCGAAAUAAUUCUACCAAUCACAUCUGCAUACAUCAAUUCUAUUAUAAAAUAUUGGGAGUAAAAAUAGAAAUACAUGAAAAAAACAUAAGACUUUUCUAUAAUUACCAAUCGGAACAGCCUCCGCAAUGUUUUCGAUGGCUUGAAUCUCAUCAAAGGAUUUGAAUGCAUAGAUGAGGUUAGGAAAACUUUGAUUAGUUUCAACUCGCACCUCAGUGUUUCCAUAAAAAGUAGCUUUAUACUUAUGUGAAGUGACUCUAUACUUGGAUAUGUUAUGUGUAAUGCCGAAGUUUCGCAUGGCAUAAUGUUCUCCCUCUUGAAACUUAGAGCUGAACUUGGAUGCUAUAUGUUUUGGUGCUGUAAAAUGAUACCUAGUUCCCUGCACCAUUCAUUAUAAAGUAAGUAAUAAGUAUUUCAUUAUAAUCAUGUUAUUCUGAAAUGAAUUAUCCAUUCUCAAAAGUGUACAGAAUCCAAACUGAGUACUACAACAAUUUCAGAUGUUCAUGAACUAAGAAAGUCAAAGGUUGUAUUAGUUUGCAUAUUUUAUUGAUGAUAAUCAUUAGAAUAUUGAUUAUCCACAUACUUACUAUGUCAAUAUAUAUGUGCUGAUUAUAAUUUAUAUGUUAUGCUUGCUUUGUCCUAUUAUUCAUUACUAUUAUUUCCUACUAUGCAUAUAAGUAGAAAUUUAAAAAAGACAAUAAUUUUAAUAAACCUCACUGAAAUUGCUGUAGUACAAAAAUCAGGGCCUGAAUAUCAAAGAGUGACAGCCUUCGAAGAAAAAAAAAACAGUUUUCUUUUCAGGAUACUACUACAUAAUAAGACAUACAAAUAAAAUAUAAGUUAUACUCCAUGUUUGGAGGAUGGCAUGCAAAUAAAAUAUAAGUUAUACUCCAUGUUUUAUUUAAUACAUACCUCCAUAUCAUGAAAUAUGCAUUCAAAGCUAUUUAGCUCCUCAUGUUUGGAGGAUGGCAUGCCAUAACAUCUUAUUAACCUAGCUUUAACUGCAGGCGACAUUGCUAAGGGGCGAAGCUCAUUAAAGAGUGACCACAUCCCGACCAUUGUAGAGCUUCAACGUUGAAUCUGCAUGAUAUUCAAUGUUAGAAUACAUGUAUGUAAGUAAUAGUUUUGAACAUCAACUAUUUGCUUUGAACUUACUGAAAACGUGAGGAAUGAAAUAUUUUCUUUCUUUUUUUGCUGCAGAUGUAUUACAAUUGUGCUGCAGAUGUAUUACAAUUGGAUAUGGAUAUGGAUUGGGAGUAUUUGAAGAGAUGGUUGCAUUACUUUUUAUUGGGGAGAGCA